CGGCAGGGAGGGCUGGAGGGCUCGGCCUCCUCUCCUCUACAAACGGUCGUCAUGGUGGAGCCAGUAACCAUUGGAGGCGGUGGAACUAACCAUAGAACCUAGGGCUGUCGGCGUAGAAGUCUCGCCCUGUGGGGGUGUUGGAGCGGGGUGAGCUCGUCUGGAGGGAUGAGCUUUCUGCAUAUCGGGUGAACCGGGUUAGGCCCGGAAGGGAGCGGCCCUAAGCUCGGACAACACCGUUCGUAGGAUAACGGGAUGGAUGCCGGCUCACCCAAAGGUCUGUGGUAUAGGCCGCUCACUUCAUUGGGGCUGCCG
rnacentral:SRP_RNA from 1 species